GUUCCUGGCUCAGAUUGAACGCUGGCGGCAUGCUUUACACAUGCAAGUCGAACGGCAGCACAGGGAGCUUGCUCCCGGGUGGCGAGUGGCGCACGGGUGAGUAAUACAUCGGAACGUGUCCUAUUGUGGGGGAUAACUGCUCGAAAGGGUGGCUAAUACCGCAUGAGACCUGAGGGUGAAAGCGGGGGAUCGCAAGACCUCGCGCAAUUGGAGCGGCCGAUGCCCGAUUAG
rnacentral:rRNA from 1 species